UGAUAGUUCUGUUAUCUUAAUUUUGUCAAAGUGUGAUGAAAGGUUUGGAGUUUCAUGAUUUUCAUUUUCAAAUUAAGAGCUGGACACAGAAAGUCAGUAUCUGAUUUGGAACCAAUACUUCUCUGAAAAAUAUAUUGUUUGAAGGAUAAAUGGUCAGUGAUUUUUAAGCAGAAAACAUAACUCAUUAUACUUCAGUUUUAAAGUGUCCUGUAUGUUGUAGCUGAUGUAUGUAUCAUGUGUCCACCAGUCUCAUCCAGAGGGUUAAUAAAUUCUUAGGUCAUGUGUGGUGGGGACAAAAAUGUAGCAUAGGCUGGUUCAGUAGAUUUUCAAAAUCCUUCAUGUGUAUACUAUGCUAAAUUAUUGCAUCAAUCACUAGCCAUGAUGAAUCUAGCUAUUUAUACUGCUAAGAAAGUUGUCUAAAUUACAGGCUCUGUCUAACAAAAUUGUCUAAAUUACAUACUCUGUGUAACAAAGUUGUCUAAAUUACAUACUCUGUUGUGUAACAAAGUUGUCUAAAUUACAUACUCUGUGUAACAAAGUUGUCUAAAUUACAUACUCUGUGUAACAAAGUUGUCUAAAUUACAUACUCUGUGUAACAAAGUUGUCUAAAUUACAUACUCUGUUGUGUAACAAAGUUGUCUAAAUUACAUACUCUGUUGUGUAACAAAGUUGUCUAAAUUACAUACUCUGUUGUGUAACAAAGUUGUCUAAAUUACAUACUCUGUUGUGUAACAAAGUUGUCUAAAUUACAUACUCUGUUGUGUAACAAAGUUGUCUAAAUUACAUACUCUGUGUAACAAAGUUGUCUAAAUUACAUACUCUGUAGCAGUACAAGACAAUGUAAUAAAAGAGAGUUAUCUUAGGUUUAGCUUGGCAGCUGGAUUGAUAAACUACAUAGCAAAUUUUUGUUUGUAAUGUGUUAUGGUGAGUAAUUUUGCUGUAUUGAUGUUGGCAGUGUUUCUGUGGUUAUGUGGUAUUGAUGUACACUGUAGACAAAUUUCUUGAUGUAUUUUUUAAUUUAAUUACAGUGAGAAUUCUUUCAUUUGCAUUGUUAGAUGUCCAACCUUGCUUGCUACUUUUUGGUAAUUUUUGAAAAAUAUAUGAUAGACCGUUGUUGAUUACAGUAUCAAAUUUAUUUGCUUAGUUUUACCUUUCCUCACUGAUAUUCGUUAUACACCAUGUUCUGUAUACCGUAGUCAGCACCUAGUUCUCUUGCCUUUUAGCAUGUUAUUGGUAAUGAUGGACCAGUGUUGACGUAGGAAAGUUAAAAGUCUUUGCUGCUUGAAAGGGUGCUGGGAGUUUGGCUUAAUACAUGGUAGGAGGUUUAAUGGUGUUUUAUGUGUAUGGUACAGGGUGCUUGGUUCCAUCAGCAGUUUGACUCUGUAGCUCUGCUUUAGCUCAAUAAUAUAGCAAUAAAAUUUAUUUAAUCAAGAUUUAUGAUUUUUGCACUUGAGAGAACAAUUAUUUAUUCAUUAUUUACUGCACUUUCAACCUUAUUAUAAGAGUAUUGAAAGCGAGUAUCAGUGUUUUACACCUGAUGUUUUAUAUGCUCAUUAAAAAAAAAACAUGUAUAUACAUUUAAUGUAUUUAUGUCUUCAGUCCAUUUGAUGAUAUGAUAAUCAGCAUAACUGUCUAUGUAAUUCAUGAAAUAUUCAUAGAUUUAAAUUAUAGGUCUACACACACCAAUACACUUGGGUUUACACAGUCUUAUAAGACUCUCAGAAUUACACAGACCUGUAACACUAGGUCUACACAGACCCAUAACAUUUUCAUGUCUACCACACACCUGUAACACUAGGUCUACACAGACCCAUAACACUUUCAUGUCUACCACAGACCUGUAACACUCAGGUCUACACAGACCCAUAACACUUCGAUGUCUACCACAGACCUGUAACACUCAGGUCUACACAGACCCAUAACACUUUCAUGUCUACCACAGACCUGUAACACUCAGGUCUACACAGACCCAUAACAUUUUCAUGUCUACCACACACCUGUAACACUCGGGUCAACACAGACCCAUAACACUUUGAUGUCUACCACAGACCUGUAACACUCAGGUCUACACAGACCCAUAACACUUUCAUGUCUACCACAGACCUGUAACACUCUAGGUCUACACAGACCCAUAACACUUCGAUGUCUACCACAGACCUGUAACACUCAUGUCUACACAGACCCAUAACACUUUCAUGUCUACCACACACCUGUAACACUCAGGUCUACACAGACCCAUAACACUUUCAUGUCUACCACAGACGUGUAACACUCAGGUCUACACAGACCCAUAACACUUUCAUGUCUACCACACACCUGUAACACUCAGGUCUACACAGACCCAUAACACUUCGAUGUCUACCACAGACCUGUAACACUCAUGUCUACACAGACCCAUAACACUUUGAUGUCUACCACAGACCUGUAACACUCAUGUCUACACAGACCCAUAACACUUUCAUGUCUACCACAGACCUGUAACACUCGGGUCUACACAGACCCAUAACUCUUUCAUGUCUACCACAGACCUGUAACACUCUAGGUCUACACAGACCCAUAACACUUUGAUGUCUACCACAGACCUGUAACACUCAGGUCUACACAGACCCAUAACACUUUCAUGUCUACCACAGACCUGUAACACUCAGGUCUACACAGACCCAUAACACUUCGAUGUCUACCACAGACCUGUAACACUCAGGUCUACACAGACCCAUAACACUUUCAUGUCUACCACAGACCUGUAACACUCAGGUCUACACAGACCCAUAACACUUUGAUGUCUACCACAGACCUGUAACACUCAGGUCUACACAGACCCAUAACAUUUUCAUGUCUACCACACACCUGUAACACUAGGUCUACACAGACCCAUAACACUUUCAUGUCUACCACAGACCUGUAACACUCAGGUCUACACAGACCCAUAACAUUUUCAUGUCUACCACACACCUGUAACACUAGGUCUACACAGACCCAUAACACUUUCAUGUCUACCACAGACCUGUAACACUCAGGUCUACACAGACCCAUAACAUUUUCAUGUCUACCACACACCUGUAACACUAGGUCUACACAGACCCAUAACACUUUCAUGUCUACCACAGACCUGUAACACUCUAGGUCUACACAGACCCAUAACACUUCGAUGUCUACCACAGACCUGUAACACUCAGGUCAACACAGACCCAUAACACUUUGAUGUCUACCACAGACCUGUAACACUCAGGUCUACACAGACCCAUAAUACUUCGAUGUCUACCACAGACCUGUAACACUCUAGGUCUACACAGACCCAUAACUCUUUCAGGUCUUCCACAGACCUGUAACACUCGGGUCUACACAGACUUAGCAAAAUCUGGAAUUUGCAAUCUUACUUCCAAGAUUAUUUUGUCUCUUCUUAGAAAUCUGUGAUACAUUUCAUUAUAUUAAGAUCUUGAUAUUUAUUUAUUUUAUUUAUUUCUGAAUACAUACAGCAUUAUGAUGCUGCUGAUGUAUAUUAUUUAAAUCAAAUCUCCCUUACUUGUACCAUACUGACUAAAUCCAACAACAUAUUAUAAUUUGUAACACACAGUAGAAGUUGAAGGUCUAAUUGACAUCAGAGUCACUAUAAUAAUUAAAUUAUUAGGACAUGUUGCCCUAUACUGCAUUAUACAGCAAUAUUGACUGGUGUGAAGUUCUAUGAUUUUUAUCUAAAUACCUUCACUUCCUUGAUAUAGAAUUAUAUAACAUUUACAAGUCAGGAGAUGAUGUAAACCAUUCCUCGCGUAGCAUUACACUGGAAAACAUUGCCAUAUUCGCUUGAGUUAUUAUGUUGAUUUUACAUGUUUUUUGCAUUCUAUUAUAUUAAUACCAAAAAUUUGAAUUCCUUAUAGAGUCAUAUUUUGUUUAAUUUAUAGCAUUGUUAAUUAAUAAUUUAUGAUUUAUAUUGUAAUUGUUUAAAAUUUGGUGCAUGCAUUUAAUGUUUUUGUUUAAAUUUUGUAUUUAUCAUUUACAUUGGUUCUGUCCUGCUCAUUGACAUUGGAGAAAUAGUUAUCUAUUAUAUUAACAGCUUUAAUGUAACAUCCCUCCAAAGAUCUUUAUUGAAGCCUGAACAAAUCUCCACAUGACAAAACUGUCUCACUUCCUGCAUUUUCCUUCCGUCCAUCAAUAAACAGGCAUUAUUUUCUCUAUGUAUUGAAUCUUCAAAUUUUUGUUCAUUUACAGAUGUUUAUGUUUUAAUGUUUUAUUCAUUAGUUAGAAUGUUUUCAUAUUGAGGUAGGUUAAAGUGACAAUUUUUACCACCAAAAAGUUUUAAAUUAGCCAGUUACAGAAUAUGUGUCUCUCAGAACAAAAUUUUACAAAUUUAUUGAUAAGUUGUAGAAGAUGGCCAUUGUGCUAUGAAUGUCAAACAAGUCAUUUAAGGAUUUAUAUGUCAAGUAAUCAUGGCUUUUGUGAACUUUUUUGCAUAAAUUGUUUACUAGGAGCAAUGACUCUGUUGUAAUAUGGUCAAAAAUCCAAACCUGACUAAAGUGUCUUUUUAGAUUAAGAAGUACUUCAAAUAAUGUUAUUCUCACAUUGAUGAAUAUUGAUAUUUAUAUUGGUAAUCUUGACCUCAUUUGCAUACCUUUUCAUUCAGAAUGAUCAUAUAUAAACAUAAGUGAAGUUCCUAGUAUUUUUUGAGCCACAACAUUAAAAUGGAAACAUCUAUAUUUAUUUAUAUGAGAAUACUUUCAUUAAAUGCACACAUGCAAACAUUGGGUCAGGAUUUUGUGCCAAGUUACAAUGAAGAUAUUAUCAGUGUUGUAACUUUCUGUAAAAAAUUUCAUUUCUUUGUCAUAAUACAGUUUAUAAUGAUAAGAGUAUAUUUGGAUACAUGUUACAGCUUCAGCUUCUUGUCAAUGUUGCUCAUAGUUUGGUUAGAAUGAAGCAGUGGUUAUUGAAAUUUUUCAAAUACAACUUUUUUUAUUAUUAUUUAUCAUUUCACAGGUAUAGAUUUGUUGAGAUAGGUCAGAUUGAUAUAUUUGGAGUAUCAAUUUUGCUUUGAAUGUCAUUUAUUUUCUUAGAUUAUUGAUUGGAAAUUGUCACCACUCAAUGGUAACUUUUAAAAAAAGUUCGGAACAACUGAACUUGAUAUAUCAUUAAUUUCAUGUCUUCCAUAUGUAUGAUUACAAAAGCACUUUAUAUCAUAUGUAAUGAAAUAUUUUCCACAUGCAUAUAAAUAAUCUGCAUAGUUUGAGAAGAUUGUCAAUCUGUGACCUUGAUAGGCACUGACACAUUAUUUUUGUGGUAUACGUAACAUUUGUGUCAGGCUGGAUUUAAUACAUCAUUCAGAAGAAUGAUCCAAAAGAGUGUUGAAUGUGUCGGGUCAUGUGAUUCUGUGCAUGUCAGGUCAAGGUCAUUAGAAAGUGAGUUAGGUCAAGGUCAUAACCACCAUGAUAUUGUAUAUCCAAUGAUGGGUCAUAACAGUAAGAUAAUGAUGUGAUGUAAGUUAACUGUCUGUGAGUUCACGGUUGUGUUUUAUAGAAAGGUGAAGGAUAUCUUGUUUUUUCAAGUUAAAGGUUGUGCUCUCAUUAUAACAUGAAUGCUUAUCGAUGAUUUCAGUCAGUGCUAAGUUUGUCAUGGUAUUACGCUAGCAAUUCAUAAAUUAAAUUUCAUUACAUAAACUUUUGCAGCAUAUUUUCCCAAUUAUAAUCAUCAUUUAAUAAAUUGAAAACCAUUCUAUAUGCCUGCACUACCGUGUUUUGUGUUCAGAUCUGUUUGCUGUGUACAAGUUUCUGUACCUCAUGUGGCUUCUUUGUAGCAAUACAUGUAUAAUCAUAACAAUGUCUUAGCUUUGAUUUCUAGUCUACCAAGUACUGUGAAAUUUACCAGUGACUCGCCUUUCACUAUAUUUCAUUACCAUGGCUUAUUCCAGCCAGUGUUCCCAUGCAAUCUAAAGUGAUUUGUUUUCUAUUUUAAAUGCGCUUUGAAUAUAAACAUUGUCCAUUAUUCAGAUGUAUAUUGAUCUGUGAGAGAUAAAUUAGGCUACUACACAGGUAGUAUACACUCCAUGUGAAUUAUGAUAUUUUCAAAAAUCUUUUAUUUUUGUUACACAGUAGUGUCACUUGAUAUCAAUGUACAAGAUUUACAAUAUAGAUAUUGAUAGAUAGCAUUGAUAAGUAGAGAUGGAAUUAUUGUAUAGCAGUGUAAUGUUACAUUCUGGUUCAGUUAUCUUAGUAAUCUACACCAAAUAUACAUGUAAAAUUAUCUACACAAAUAUCUUAAAUCAACUCAAGUCUUUAAAGUGAGGAAACUAUAGCACUUUAUAGUACAUACUAAAUGUAGUGCACCAUAAACUUGGUGUGAAUAAUAUUUAAUGUUAAUAUAAUCAAAUUAGUCUCCAGAAUGCAUCUAGUACAUUAAAUCCUGAAGGAUCUCUAGACUGUUGUUUAUGGUUUCAGGUUUGGCAUGAAUACAUGGUUGAUAUAUUUGUUUAAGCAUGCUUAAUUGCCAGUGGUAUACGUACAGUAUGAUGUACAAUAUCAAUAUGUAUUCAUUGGUUGUUUCAUAGUGAACAAUACACUACUUUAUAUUCCAGCAUGACAACACCCAUGUACUAGACAUUGUCACCCUAUGUGCUUGGUAUGCUGCCAGAUUAUUUAUUAUGAAUAAAUCAUACAAAACUA